rnacentral:rRNA from 1 species
AUACGGAGGAUCCGAGCGUUAUCCGGAUUUAUUGGGUUUAAAGGGUGCGCAGGCGGCCGUUUAAGUCAGCGGUUAAAUCGUGGGGCUCAACCCCAUUCUGCCGUUGAUACUGGGUGGCUUGAUUGCGGUCGAGGUUGGCGGAAUUCGUUGUGUAGCGGUGAAAUGCAUAGAUAUGACGAAGAACACCGAUUGCGUAGGCAGCUGACCAGACCGCAAAUGACGCUCAUGCACGAAAGUGCGGGGAUCGAACAGGAUUAGAUACCCUGGUAGUCCGCACAGUAAACGAUGAAUACUUGUUUUCGGCGAUAUAAUGUCGGAGGCAAAGCGAAAGCGAUAAGUAUUCCACCUGGGGAGUACGCCGGCAACGGUGAAACUCAAAGGAAUUGACGGGG